UACGAAGGGGGGCUAGCGUUGCUCGGAAUCACUGGGCGUAAAGCGCACGUAGGCGGAUUGUUAAGUCAGGGGUGAAAUCCUGGAGCUCAACUCCAGAACUGCCUUUGAUACUGGCGAUCUCGAGUCCGGGAGAGGUGAGUGGAACUGCGAGUGUAGAGGUGAAAUUCGUAGAUAUUCGCAAGAACACCAGUGGCGAAGGCGGCUCACUGGCCCGGUACUGACGCUGAGGUGCGAAAGCGUGGGGGAGCAAACAGG
rnacentral:rRNA from 1 species